UACGAAGGGUGCAAGCGUUACUCGGAAUUACUGGGCGUAAAGGGUGCGUAGGUGGUCGUUUAAGUCCGUUGUGAAAGCCCUGGGCUUAACCUAGGAAGUGCAUUCGAAACUCCCGUGGCUUGAGUUCUGGAGAGGGAAGCGGAAUUCUCGGUGUAGAGGUGAAAUUCGUAGAUAUCGAGAGGAACACCGGUGGCGAAGGCGGCUUCCUGGACAGUGACUGACGCUGAGACGCGAAAGCGUGGGGAGCAAACAGG
rnacentral:rRNA from 1 species